rnacentral:rRNA from 1 species
GAUGAACGCUGGCGGCGUGCCUAAUACAUGCAAGUCGAGCGAACGGACGAGAAGCUUGCUUCUCUGAUGUUAGCGGCGGACGGGUGAGUAACACGUGGAUAACCUACCUAUAAGACUGGGAUAACUUCGGGAAACCGGAGCUAAUACCGGAUAAUAUUUUGAACCGCAUGGUUCAAAAGUGAAAGACGGUCUUGCUGUCACUUAUAGAUGGAUCCGCGCUGCAUUAGCUAGUUGGUAAGGUAACGGCUUACCAAGGCAACGAUGCAUAGCCGACCUGAGAGGGUGAUCGGCCACACUGGAACUGAGACACGGACCAGACUCCUACGGGAGGCAGCAGUAGGGAAUCUUCCGCAAUGGGCGAAAGCCUGACGGAGCAACGCCGCGUGAGUGAUGAAGGUCUUCGGAUCGUAAAACUCUGUUAUUAGGGAAGAACAUAUGUGUAAGUAACUGUGCACAUCUUGACGGUACCUAAUCAGAAAGCCACGGCUAACUACGUG